AUGCAAAACACCCCCUCUGCUCUGCCCAACAACCCUCAAGUUCAAGCAACGGUUGACCUUUCCCUCUCUCAACAAAACCACCCAAAUGCUGCUUCCAGCUCCAGACCCAAUCCUGCAGCCGACCUCACGGUCAGACACCUCACACUACCCAACGGUGACAUCUACUCCGGCACGACAUCAUGUGGGUUACCGGAUGGCACAGGCCGGUACGUCUGGUCUGGUACCGUCUGCAUCUACGACGGCGAGUGGAGGAGAGGGAUGAGGAACGGCCAUGGCAGAACAACAUGGCCGUCAUCAGGAGCUGUCUACGAUGGCGAGUACUCUGCUGGCUACAUGGACGGUGAAGGAACACAUGUCGAAACCUCCUCUUCUUCCUACAAGGGGCAAUGGAAGCUGGACCGCAAGCACGGCGUCGGCUUCCAAACGUACCCCAACGGAGACACAUACCUCGGUUCAUGGGCUCAAGGCCAGAUGGAAGGCCAUGGUAGGUACACAUGGGCAGCAGACCGCAGCACCUACGUCGGCGCAAUGAGAAAUGGCACCAUGUCUGGCAAAGGGGUACUUGCAUGGACCACCGGGGACUCAUUUCAGGGGAACUGGCUCGGCGACACAAUGCAUGGGUACGGUUUGUACACGUGGGAGGACGGUGGGUACUAUCUAGGCAUCUGGACAAGGGGGGUCAAGGAUGGGAAGGGCACUUUCUUCCCGAAAUCUCGCGGAGUCCUCGUCGAGCAUGAGCUCUACAUCGACGAUCUAAGGAAGAGAGGUGUUCUGCCUGACAUCACUAAUGUCAUGCAAUGCUCCUCUUCCUUCGAGAACGACACAAAUGUCGGUGUGAACCGAGGGGGUGCUAGAUUAUCCAGAAGAAACAACUUGAGUUUUGAUCAGCAGUCUCCCUCAGAGAAGCCGUCUUUGCAGAGACGCUGGAGCAUUGGGAUGGCUAAACCAAGUGCAGGAGAUUCUGAAACACAAGGUUGUGAAAACAGUGCUGAUUCUAGCCUCGAGGUACUCGAAAGGGAGUAUGCGCAAGGUGUUCUGAUCAGCGAGAUUGUGUUGAACAACGGCAACUCAGAAACGUCCAAAAAUGCGAGACGUCGUCGGCAGAGCAAGGCGGCGAAGGAUGUCAAAAGGCCUGGAGAGACGAUAAUCAAAGGGCACAUGAGCUAUGAUCUAAUGCUCAGCCUGCAGCUUGGAAUCAGGUACACAGUUGGAAAGAUUACACCGAUUCAGGCGCGUGAAAUGAGAACUUCUGAUUAUGGCCCCAGAGCAUGUUUCUGGAUGAACUUCCCCAUAACAGGGUCACGGCUUACUCCUGCGCAUUGUGCGGUAGAUUUUAAGUGGAAAGACUAUUGCCCAAUGGUUUUCCGGUUUGUUGCUUUAUCUCACUUUUCUUUUAAUAAGAUUGAGUAUAUUAUUUUGGUCAACAUAUGUUCUUAUGUUAAUGUAGUACUUCCUUAUACUUGGCUUAUCAAUGGCUUAACUACCAUCAUUAGAAACUUGAGGGAGAUGUUCAAGAUUGAUACAACAGAUUAUAUGAUCUCCAUUUGCGGAAGUGAUGCUCUUAGAGAGCUCUCUUCUCCCGGAAAGAGUGGAAGCAUCUUUUUCUUAUCGCAAGAUGACCGGUUUAUGAUCAAGACUCUUCGGAAAUCUGAAGCAAAGGUUCUUUUGCGUAUGCUUCCAUACUAUUAUCACCAUGUCCAUACUUAUGAGAACACACUCGUAACUAAAUUUUUUGGCAUCCAUAGGGUGAAACCUUCCAGCGGUCGAAAGUUCCGAUUUGUAGUGAUGGGAAACAUGUUCUACACAGAACUUAGAGUCCAUCGAAGAUUUGAUUUGAAAGGUUCAUCUUUGGGCCGCUCAAAUGAAAAAAUUGAAAUUGACGUGAACACGACAUUUAAAGACUUAGAUCUGAACUAUUCAUUUUAUCUCGAGCCUUCUUGGAGGGAUGCUUUGCUUAAGCAGAUUGGGACCGACAGCGAGUUUCUUAGGAAUCAGGGUAUAAUGGAUUACAGCUUGCUUCUUGGUUUGCAUUAUCGUGCUCGUCAAAGCCUAAAAAGAGGAGCAUCAUGCCAUGAAAGUCUUGUGCUAGACAAACUGACCAAUCUUACAGAAGGUGAUUCCAUGGAGGAAAAAGCAGCUUGUAACUAUCGUGAAGGGUUGGUUUUGGUGCAAAGAGGUAGCGACCAAAAGGGUGAAAUCGUUGUUAGCCCUCACAUACGGGGAAGCCCACUGGGUUUGUCGUCUGCUUGUUUUGAGGAAGUGGAUCUUCUGAUUCCAGGCACAGCAAGGCUGCCAAUCCAACUAGGGGUGAACAUGCCCGCAAGAGCGGAGAAACAAGAAGAGGAUGGCAGCAAAUCGCUCUGGCAAGUAUAUGAUGUGGUACUCUACAUAGGGAUCAUUGAUAUUCUCCAAAAGUAUAACAUGAAGAAGAAGAUUGAGCAUGCAUAUAAGUCCAUCAAGUAUAAGUACAACCCCUUGUCAAUAUCUUCUGUUAAACCACAAUUCUACUCAGAGCGAUUCCUCAAGUUCAUUCACACCGUCUUCCCUCAAAACUCUAGCUAG
rnacentral:rRNA from 1 species